rnacentral:rRNA from 1 species
UACAGAGGGUGCGAGCGUUAAUCGGAAUUACUGGGCGUAAAGCGUGCGUAGACGGCUAUCUAAGUCGGGUGUGAAAGCCCCGGGCUCAACCUGGGAAUUGCAUUCGAGACUGAAUAGCUAGGGUACGGUAGAGGGAAGCGGAAUUUCCGGUGUAGCGGUGAAAUGCGCAGAUAUCAGGAGGAACACCGGUGGCGAAGGCGGGUCUCUGGGCCGACUACUGACGCUGAGGAGCGAAAGCGUGGGGAGCGAACAGG